rnacentral:rRNA from 1 species
UACGUAGGGGGCUAGCGUUGUCCGGAAUCAUUGGGCGUAAAGCGCGUGUAGGCGGUCCGGUAAGUCCGCUGUGAAAGUCGGGGGCUCAACCCUCGGAUGCCGGUGGAUACUGUCGGGCUUGAGUACGGAAGAGGCGAGUGGAAUUCCUGGUGUAGCGGUGAAAUGCGCAGAUAUCAGGAGGAACACCAAUUGCGAAGGCAGCUCGCUGGGACGUUACUGACGCUGAGACGCGAAAACGUGGGGAGCAAACAGG